rnacentral:ncRNA from 1 species
UUAGGUAGAGGUUGCAAACAACAAGAGUAAUUUAAAUGAGCUAGGCAAUGCGUUGAGUUUAAAUGAAAGGGGAGUUUGCCGAAAUAAAGAUUAUGUCAAAAAUCUUUGUUGGGAAUAUGGAGAAUAUCCAUAUGACUGUCAUUAGCUUAGCUAAUGUUGUGCUAUCAG